GUUCUUGUUAAUUCCAUGUUUUCUGGAAAUGUAAGAGCACUUGCUUUGACCUUCAAAUAUUUAUUGGCUUCUGGAAUUCCAUUACUAAGUUUGAAGGAAGACAUGAAAGCAAGGCUGCUCCAAGGUGGAGGAAGGAAGCUGGAACUCUGAAGAUCUGAGGGGAUUAAUUCAGGACUGCCGAUGGGUGCUUGCACUCCUGCAGGAACCAAAGCCAGGAAUCCUUCAGACUAAAGCUCUUCACACAGGAAUGAAGAACACUGCUCUCCAAGACUCGAGCACUGUGUUUAUCUUCAUGUCCCAAAGACCUACACAGUUACAUCCCAUGAGAAAUUCAAAUUUCUGGUUUGUAAUUUGGUGUAACUGGUGACUCACCUGGUUGCUCUGGUGGCACUUCAGGACUCAGCAGGGUGAAGCUACAGCAUGAGGAAAGGGACAUGAUGUGUCCCUGGACUGUGUUCCUGCUGCCAAGGAAGCUCACAGUGGCUGGCAAAUGUACAGACAAAGCUGCAGUGCAUGGAGCUGCAGAGCCAGCGCUUGUGACUGCUCACACUUCCAGGCACAGAUGCACAUCUGCUCACAGCUGUACUUUGAAAGACACAGAAAUGCCAUUGCUUGUGUCUUGUCUAAAGUGAAAAUCUGACCAAAAGCCAAGCAAAGGAGGACUGUGGAAGCUAUUCCCUGUAUUGGAUCUUGUCUGAUCACCUGCAUAUCGCUUUUAUAGAAGUUCUGUAACCAAUGCCUAAUGAACAUGUUUGCUAGAGAAUAAAAACAAUGCACAGACAUACAAUUUUGCUUCCUCUUCUUCUUCUAGCUUCAAAGUUAAAAGAAAACAGUAUUAAAGUGAAGCAAAGUUGAAUGACUGCUUUUUCCUCCCCUCUUUUCCAAGUGAGUGUGGAUGUUGCACUUGCCAUUUGCCAAAGCUGAGAGCUACACAAACACCCCACCAGGACCAGAAUCAUCCUUCACUGCUUUUCCUGCCCAGGCAAUCUCAAUGCUAAGUACAAAGAGAAGUAGUGCUUCCUAAAGACACCAUUAAAAAAGCAGUUAGUAUAAAAGAAAGGGAGACUUUCCCCCUAAUUUCUGUAAAGAAUGUCAGUUUCCUUUUAAGAGUUUGCCUUUCACAAAUAACCAAUUUUAAAUUACUGAAAAUUCAAAAGGAUUAUAUUGAGAAAAUCUCAGUUUUUACUUCAGGUGGACCUAAUUUUAUUUUGACUCUUCAUAACUAGAUGGGGAACAUAUUUUGUGAUUGAAAAUAGAGAUAACAUAGAACAUCAAAGAAAAAUUGCAUAUAAGAGCUAUCUAUAAAUUCUAUUAUGGUAAAAUAUUAAAUUUUCAAACUUGAAUGGACAGUUCAACUUCAACAGGAUCCUUCAUUUCCACAUAAUCUUAGGAUAUGAUAUUUAAAGGCUGACAAUACAGCACAUUAUUCCAGUUUUACUAAGACAAUAUUUGACUGAAAAAUCACCACUAAAUAAAACUGCAGGCAGAUGAGGUCAGGACCAUUUUGCAUUAAUUCAGGACAAAGGGAAGUGUUUCCUCCCAGGGUCCUUGCCCUUGCCAAGCCUGAUGGUGUUGGCAGCAGAAGCUCCAGUUAAAGUAAAAUUAAUUUUACAUUAGUUGAAGAGUGGUGGUAUUUGCUGGUAUCACCUUGCAGCUCA